rnacentral:rRNA from 1 species
CCUUAACCUGCUAAAUAGCCCGUGUUGCUUCUGCAGCACGCUGGCUUCUUAGAGGGACUAUCGGCUCAAGCCGAUGGAAGUUUGAGGCAAUAACAGGUCUGUGAUGCCCUUAGAUGUUCUGGGCCGCACGCGCGCUACACUGAUAAAGCCAGCGAGUUCUCCCUUGGCCGAAAGGUCCGGGUAAUCUUGUUAAACUUUAUCGUGCUGGGGAUAGGGCCUUGCAAUUAUUGCCCUUCAACGAGGAAUCCCUAGUAAGCGCAAGUCAUCAGCUUGCGUUGAUUACGUCCCUGCCCUUUGUACACACCGCCCGUCGCUACUACCGAUUGAAUGGUUCAGUGAGGCUUUCGGACUGGCCCAGGGUAGUGGGCAACUACCGCCCAGGGCCGGAAAGUUAUCCAAACUCGAUCAUUUAGAGGAAGUAAAAGUCG